rnacentral:rRNA from 1 species
GACGAACCGUGCGAACGUUGUUCGGAAUCACUGGGUUUAAAGGGCGCGUAGGCGGGCUGUCAAGUCGGUGGUGAAAUCUUUCGGCUCAACCGGAAAAUCGCCUUCGAUACUGGCGGCCUUGAGGGAGGUAGGGGCAUGCGGAACUUCCGGUGGAGCGGUGAAAUGCGUAGAUAUCGGAAGGAACACCGAUGGCGAAAGCAGCGUGCUGGACCUUUCUGACGCUGAGGCGCGAAAGCCAGGGGAGCAAACGGG